GUACACGAGUUUGAUCAUGGCUCAGGACGAACGCUGGCGGCGUGCCUAAUGCAUGCAAGUCGCACGCAGGAGCUUCGGCUUCUGAGUGGCGCACGGCUGAGGAACACGUGGGAACCAACCCUCCAGUGGGGGAUAACGGCGCGAAAGCGCCGCUAAUCCCGCAUACGUUCACCCUGUUGAAGGGUGAGGAAAGCCGCAAGGCGCUGGAGGCUGGGCCCGCGGCCCAUCAGGUUGUUGGUGGGGUAACGGCCUACCAAGCCACUGACGGGUAGCCGGUCUGAGAGGAUGAACGGCCACAUUGGGACUGAGAUACGGCCCAGACUCCUACGGGAGGCAGCAGUGGGGAAUAUUGGGCAAUGGGGGAAACCCUGACCCAGCAACGCCGCGUGAAGGAAGAAGGCCUUCGGGUUGUAAACUUCUUUUACCAGGGACGAAGAACGUGACGGUACCUGGAGAAAAAGCAACGGCUAACUACGUG
rnacentral:rRNA from 1 species